CCUCACUCUGGCGGCGUGCUUAACACAUGCAAGUCGAACGGUGAAGCGCCUUCCUUUUUGGUGGGUGUGGAUGAGUGGCGAACGGGUGAGUAACACGUGAGUAACCUGCCCCCUUCUUCUGGAUAACCGCAUGAAAGUGUGGCUAAUACGGGAUAUUCUGGGUCUGUCGCAUGAUGGGUCUGGGAAAGAUAUUGUUUCGGUGGGGGAUGGGCUCGCGGCCUAUCAGCUUGUUGGUGGGGUGAUGGCCUACCAAGGCGGUGACGGGUAGCCGGCCUGAGAGGGUGGACGGUCACACUGGGACUGAGACACGGCCCAGACUCCUACGGGAGGCAGCAGUGGGGAAUAUUGCACAAUGGGCGCAAGCCUGAUGCAGCGACGCCGCGUGAGGGAUGGAGGCCUUCGGGUUGUGAACCUCUUUCGCCAGUGAAGCAGGCCUGCCUCGUUUGUGGGUGGGUUGACGGUAGCUGGAUAAGAAGCGCCGGCUAACUACGUG
rnacentral:rRNA from 1 species